rnacentral:rRNA from 1 species
GACGAACGCUGGCGGCGUGCUUAACACAUGCAAGUCGAACGGAAAGGCCCUGCUUUUGUGGGGUGCUCGAUUGGCGAACGGGUGAGUAACACGUGAGUAACCUGCCCUUGACUUUGGGAUAACUUCAGGAAACUGGGGCUAAUACCGGAUAGGAGCUCCUGCUGCAUGUUGGGGGUUGGAAAGUUUCGGCGUUUGGGGAUGGACUCGCGGCUUAUGAGCUUGUUGGUGGGGUAGUGGCUUACCAAGGCUUUGACGGGUAGCCGGCCUGAGAGGGUGACCGGCAACCUGGGGACUGAGAUACGGCCCAGAGUCCUACGGGAGGCAGCAGGGGGGACUAUUGCACAAUGGGGCGAAGUCUGAUGCAGCAACGCCGCGUGCGGGAUGACGGCCUUCGGGUUGUAAACAACUUUCGCCUGUAACGAAGCGUGCGUGACGGUAAUGGAUAAAGAAGCACCGGCUAACUACGUG